rnacentral:pre_miRNA from 1 species
UUGUAUGGAUGAGCAAAGUAAGUAGUUUCUUGAGAUAUAAUGUACUCCUGGUGAAGAUGCUGUGAA